GUGGGUCUCUCUGUGCUAAAAUCAAGGUGUCAGCAGGGUUGUGCUCCUUUCCAGAGGCUCUGGGAAGCAAUCCAUUUCCUUGCCUUUUCCAGCUGCUAGCGCUGCCUGAAUGUCUUGGUCCCCUUCCUCUGCCCCCAAGGUUAGCAACAGUAGGUUGAGUUCUUCUCCUGUGACAUCACUCUGGCCUCCUCUUCUGCCUCUGUCUUCCCCUUUUAAAGACCCUGUGACUACAGUGUGACCAUCCAGAUCGUCUCAGAUAAUCUCCUUAUUUUAAGGUUUUCACUGCACACCUACUUCGUGUCAGGCAUAGACAGACAUGAUCGCUGCACUCAUUGAGUUUACAAUCUAGUGGGGCACCGAGAGCUGGGACAGCCAUCUUGGAAGCAUGAGAGAUGCCAUUUAAAAGAACAAGACAACGGACUAAGGAUGGCAGCCUGCAUAGAUAAAAAGAAACUGCAUCCUUAAUGAUGUUGUUGAGCUGCCAAAUUAGCCAACGCUGGCACUGCCUUCCCUCUGGCCUUUUUGUAAUAUGAUAUGCUGCGUUUCUUCUAAUCUAAGAUGUCAUCGCUUGUAAGAUGAACCAUUACAUUGUG